CCCUUAGACGUUCUGGGCCGCACGCGCGCUACACUGACCAGUGCAACAAGCAUCCGUCCUUGGCCGACAGGCCCGGGCAAUCUUUGAACGCAGGUCGUGAUGGGGAUAGACUUUUGCAAUUUUUGGUCUUCAACGAGGAAUUCCUAGUAAACGCAAGUCAUCAACUUGCAUUGAUUACGUCCCUGCCCUUUGUACACACCGCCCGUCGCACCUACCGAUUGAAUGGUCCGGUGAAGCCUCCGGAUUGGCGCGCACCUCGGUGCCGCCGAGAAGUUGGCUAAACCUUACCAUUUAGAGGAAGGUGAANUCGUANCA
rnacentral:rRNA from 1 species